rnacentral:rRNA from 1 species
GAGUUUGAUCGUGGCUCAGAUUGAACGCUGGCGGCAUGCCUUACACAUGCAAGUCGAACGGCAGCACGGGAGCUUGCUCCUGGUGGCGAGUGGCGAACGGGUGAGUAAUGCAUCGGAACGUAUCCUGGAGUGGGGGAUAACGUAACGAAGUUACGCUAAUACCGCAUAUUCUGUGAGCAGGAAAGCGGGGGACCUUCGGGCCUCGCGCUCUUGGAGCGGCCGAUGUCGGAUUAGCUAGUUGGUGAGGUAAAGGCUCACCAAGGCGACGAUCCGUAGCAGGUCUGAGAGGAUGAUCUGCCACACUGGAACUGAGACACGGUCCAGACUCCUACGGGAGGCAGCAGUGGGGAAUUUUGGACAAUGGGGGCAACCCUGAUCCAGCCAUGCCGCGUGAGUGAAGAAGGCCUCGGUUGUAAG